GAUGAACGCUGGCGGCGUGCUUAACACAUGCAAGUCGAACGAAGCACUUUAACCUGAUUCUUCGGAUGAAGGUUUUUGUGACUGAGUGGCGGACGGGUGAGUAACGCGUGGGUAACCUGCCUCAUACAGGGGGAUAACAGUUAGAAAUGACUGCUAUUACCGCAUAAGACCACAGAGCCGCAUGGCUCGGUGGGAAAAACUCCGGUGGUAUGAGAUGGACCCGCGUCUGAUUAGGUAGUUGGUGGGGUAACGGCCUACCAAGCCAACGAUCAGUAGCCGACCUGAGAGGGUGACCGGCCACAUUGGGACUGAGACACGGCCCAAACUCCUACGGGAGGCAGCAGUGGGGAAUAUUGCACAAUGGGGGAAACCCUGAUGCAGCGACGCCGCGUGAGCGAAGAAGUAUUUCGGUAUGUAAAGCUCUAUCAGCAGGGAAGAAAAUGACGGUACCUGACUAAGAAGCACCGGCUAAAUACGUG
rnacentral:rRNA from 1 species